GCCUCCGUUGCCAAAUUGGUAGAGGCGCACACCCAUCAAGUGUGUCUAGUGUGGGUUCGAGUCCCACCGAAGGUC
rnacentral:tRNA from 1 species